GCCCAGAUCACCGAAGAAGCAACAUGUGAGCUGACAGCUGGAAAAGAUGCCAAAGGACUGGAGCCUGAGAUAAAAUUCGGUAUCAUUUCAGCAGCUGCUGAAGACUGAAGGCAACUUCUGUCGCAAGCUUGAGGCUCAAGGAAGGGCCAGACACUGGAAAACAUUUUCACAGGUCAGGCCAUGGAACCCUGGGAAGCUUGAAGACCCCAGACAGGGUUGGGGCGGAGCAGGUUGCUGAACAUGUUGGAGAAGAGGAAGACCCCCAGAGAACGAGAGGGUUGCACGUUCAUAGGAAGACUGAUGUGUGAGACCCAACCAACAAGCACUCAAGCAGUGACAGGGACACUUUGAGGAAGAAGAAGUGAACACUAUUAUUUUCUAUUUCUAACUUUUGUGAACUUUCAGAUCCUUUGAGCAAGGUGUCUUGUGGAAGGUCCUUGAGACCCCUGGAGCUGGACCAGUUAGAAAAUCAGAAAU